GAAGGUGGCAAGCGUUGUUCGGAUUUACUGGGCGUACAGGGAGCGUAGGCGGUUCGGUAAGCCCUCUGUGAAAUCUCCAGGCUUAACCUGGAACAGUCGGAGGGGACUGCUGGGCUGGAGGACGGGAGAGGAGCGCGGAAUUCCCGGUGUAGCGGUGAAAUGCGUAGAGAUCGGGAGGAAGGCCGGUGGCGAAGGCGGCGCUCUGGAACGUUUCUGACGCCGAGGCUCGAAAGCGUGGGGAGCAAACAGGAUUAGAUACCCUGGUAGUCCACGCCUUAAACUAUGAAUACUAAGUGUCGGCGGUUUACCGCCGGUGCCGCAGCUAACGCAUUAAGUAUUCCGCCUGGGAAGUACGGCCGCAAGGUUG
rnacentral:rRNA from 1 species